GACGAACGCUGGCGGCGUGCUUAACACAUGCAAGUCGAACGGAAAGGCCCUGCUUUUGUGGGGUGCUCGAGUGGCGAACGGGUGAGUAACACGUGAGUAACCUGCCCUUGACUUUGGGAUAACUUCAGGAAACUGGGGCUAAUACCGGAUAGGAGCUCCUGCUGCAUGGUAGGGGUUGGAAAGUUUCGGCGGUUGGGGAUGGACUCGCGGCUUAUCAGCUUGUUGGUGGGGUAGUGGUUUACCAAGGCUUUGACGGGUAGCCGGCCUGAGAGGGUGACCGGCCACAUGGGGACUGAGAUACGGCCCAGACUCCUACGGGAGGCAGCAGUGGGGAAUAUUGCACAAUGGGCGGAAGCCUGAUGCAGCAACGCCGCGUGCGGGAUGACGGCCUUCGGGUUGUAAACCGCUUUCGCCUGUGACGAAGCGUGAGUGACGGUAAUGGGUAAAGAAGCACCGGCUAACUACGUG
rnacentral:rRNA from 1 species